rnacentral:rRNA from 1 species
GUCUACGGCCAUAUCACGUUGAAAACACCGGUUCUCGUCCGAUCACCGAAGCUAAGCAACGUCGAGCCCGGUUAGUACUUGGAUGGGUGACCGCCUGGGAAUACCGGGUGCUGUAGGCU